rnacentral:rRNA from 1 species
GACGAACGCUGGCGGCGUGCCUAAUACAUGCAAGUCGAACGGUCUUUUCUAUGGAAGCUUGCUUCCACUGAGAAGAUAGUGGCGAACGGGUGAGUAACACGUGGGUAACCUGCCCAUAAGAGGGGGAUAACAUCCGGAAACGGGUGCUAAUACCGCAUAGUUUUCUUGAUCGCAUGAUCGGGAAAGGAAAGACGGCCUUUGUGCUGUCGCUUAUGGAUGGACCCGCGGCGUAUUAGUUAGUUGGUGAGGUAAUGGCUCACCAAGACGAUGAUACGUAGCCGACCUGAGUGGGUGAUCGGCCACAUUGGGACUGAGACACGGCCCAAACUCCUACGGGAGGCAGCAGUAGGGAAUCUUCCGCAAUGGACGAAAGUCUGACGGAGCAACGCCGCGUAAGUGAAGAAGGUUUUCGGAUCGUAAAACUCUGUUGUCAGAGAAGAACAAGUUGGAGAGUAACUGCUCCAGCCUUGACGGUAUCUAACCAGAAAGCCACGGCUAACUACGUGCCAGCCGCCGCUGUAAUAC